rnacentral:rRNA from 1 species
AGUGAACGCUGGCGGCGUGCUUAACACAUGCAAGUCGAACGAGAACGGAUUAUAGCUUGCUAUAAUUGUCAGCUAAGUGGCGCACGGGUGAGUAAUGUAUAGGUAAUAUGCCUCUUACUAAGGGAUAACAAAUGGAAACGUUCGCUAAUACCUUAUACUCCUUAUUAACAUAAGUUAAUAAGGGAAAGAUUUAUUGGUAAGAGAUUAGCCUGUAUUGUAUCAGUUAGUUGGUGGGGUAAUGGCUUACCAAGACUAUGACACAUAACUGGUUUGAGAUGAUGAUCAGUCACACUGGAACUGAGACACGGUCCAGACUCCUACGGGAGGCAGCAGUGGGGAAUAUUGCACAAUGGACGAAAGUCUGAUGCAGCAACGCCGCGUGGAGGAUGACACAUUUCGGUGCGUAAACUCCUUUUAUAUGAGAAGAUAAUGACGGUAUUAUAUGAAUAAGCACCGGCUAACUCCGUGCCAGCAGCCGCGGUAA